rnacentral:rRNA from 1 species
AAGAGUCCAGGCCUUACGGGGCGCAGCAGGCGCGAAAACUCCGCAAUGGGCGAAAGCCCGACGGGGUUACCCCGAGUGCCACCUUCGUGGUGGCUUUUGCCCGCUUUAAAAAGGCGGGCGAAUAAGGGGAGGGCAAGUCGGGUGUCAGCCGCCGCGGUAAUACCCGCUUCCCGAGUGGUGGAGGUUAUUAUUGGNCUUAAACCGCCCGUAGCCGGCCCGUCAAGUCCUCCUUGAAAGCCUGGGGCUCAACCCGUAGGAGCGGGGGGAUACUGCCGGGCUAGGGGGCGGGAGAGGCNNAGGGUACUCCCGGGGUAGGGGUAAAAUCCUAUAAUCCCGGGAGGACCACCAGUGGCGAAGGCGCUNGGCUAGAACGCGCCCGACGGUAGGGCCGAAAGCGGGG